rnacentral:rRNA from 1 species
GGAUUAGAUACCCUGGUAGUCCACGCUGUAAACGAUGUCUACUAGCCGUUGGGUUCCUUGAGGACUGAGUGGCGCAGCUAACGCGAUAAGUAGACCGCCUGGGGAGUACGGCCGCAAGGUUAAAACUCAAAUGAAUUGACGGGGGCCCGCACAAGCGGUGGAGCAUGUGGUUUAAUUCGAUGCAACGCGAAGAACCUUACCAGGUCUUGACAUCCUGAGAACUUUCUAGAGAUAGAUUGGUGCCUUCGGGAACUCAGUGACAGGUGCUGCAUGGCUGUCGUCAGCUCGUGUUG